rnacentral:misc_RNA from 1 species
AACGCACCUUGCGCUCCUUGGUAUUCCGAGGAGCAUGCCUGUUUGAGUGUCAUUAAAUUCUCAACCUCACCCAUUUUGUCAUGAAGUGGUUUGUGUAGGCUUGGAUGUGGGGGCUUGCAGGUCCGACCCUUCUGGGCUGGUCUGCUCCUCUGAAAUGCAUUAGUGGGUUGUGCCCCUAAUCUAUUGGUGUGAUAAUUAUCUACGCCGUGGAUCAGGAUUGGCGAUCAAUGACCUGCUGAUAACCGUCCGUCUCGGACAGCUUUGACAUUUUUGACCUCAAAUCAGGUAAGACUACCCGCUGAACUUAA